GGCGGACGGGUGAGUAACACGUGGGCAACCUGCCUGUAAGACUGGGAUAACUUCGGGAAACCGGAGCUAAUACCGGAUAAUCCUUUUCCUCUCAUGAGGAAAAGCUGAAAGACGGUUUACGCUGUCACUUACAGAUGGGCCCGCGGCGCAUUAGCUAGUUGGUGAGGUAACGGCUCACCAAGGCGACGAUGCGUAGCCGACCUGAGAGGGUGAUCGGCCACACUGGGACUGAGACACGGCCCAGACUCCUACGGGAGGCAGCAGUAGGGAAUCUUCCGCAAUGGACGAAAGUCUGACGGAGCAACGCCGCGUGAGUGAUGAAGGUUUUCGGAUCGUAAAACUCUGUUGUUAGGGAAGAACAAGUACAAGAGUAACUGCUUGUACCUUGACGGUACCUAACCAGAAAGCCACGGCUAACUACGUGCCAGCAGCCGCGGUAAUACGUAGGUGGCAAGCGUUGUCCGGAAUUAUUGGGCGUAAAGCGCGCGCAGGCGGUCCUUUAAGUCUGAUGUGAAAGCCCACGGCUCAACCGUGGAGGGUCAUUGGAAACUGGGGGACUUGAGUGCAGAAGAGAAGAGUGGAAUUCCACGUGUAGCGGUGAAAUGCGUAGAGAUGUGGAGGAACACCAGUGGCGAAGGCGACUCUUUGGUCUGUAACUGACGCUGAGGCGCGAAAGCGUUGGGGAGCAAACAGGGAU
rnacentral:rRNA from 1 species